GAUUCACUGUUUAAUGGCCUAGGUGUCAGCUUGCAUGCCUGCUGUUUGUUUUAUGCGUGUCCAUGCUCUUGCUUGUUGUCUCUUCUUGCUCCUCCCCUUAUAUUGUUCCUCUCUGCAUUAGUGAUAGCUCCUCUGUUCUCUCUGCGAUCCGUUCGUUCAAGCACUGGGUAUACUUGCUUGGCCGUAUUGGUUUAUGCCGUCUGCAUCAGCUGCUAGAGCUCGCCGUGCUGCAAUCCUUCGUGGUAGGAGUUUUUCCUCGCGCUCAGCAUGUGAACUGACACGACAAACUGAGCCCAGCCGUACGACAAUAGGAGCUUCCUCCAAUACGUGGAGCAGGGGACCGCACCGGCGCUAGCAGGGACGCUACGACUUUACCGACGGCUGCUCGAGCUCGGCAUUAAACCGGUGUUCCUGACAGUCCGCACCGAGAA